rnacentral:tRNA from 1 species
GUCUCUGUGGUGUAGUUGGUUAUCACAUUCGCCUCACACGCGAGAGGUCGGGAGUUCGAGCCUCUCCGGAGACA